AAUAGAUACCCCGGUAGUCCACGCCGUAAACGAUGGAUGCUAGCUGUACGGAGUAUCGACCCUCUGUGUAGCGAAGCUAACGCGUUAAGCAUCCCGCCUGUGGAGUACGGUCGCAAGACUAAAACAUAAAGGAAUUGACGGGGACCCGCACAAGCGGUGGAGCGUGUUGUUUAAUUCGAUGAUAAGCGAAGAACCUUACCAGGGCUUGACAUCCUGCUAAUCUUUCCGAAAGGAGAGAGUGCCUUCGGGCCGCAGUGACAGGUGAUGCAUGGCCGUCGUCAGCUCGUGUCGUGAGAUGUUUGGUUAAGUCCAUCAACGAGCGCAACCCUUGUGGCUAGUUGAAUUUUUCUAGUCAGACUGCCCUGGCAACAGGGAGGAAGGAGGGGAUGAUGUCAGGUCAGUAUUUCCCUUACGUCCUGGGCUACAAACACGCUACAAUGGCCGGUACAAAAGGGCAGCCAAGUCGCGAGACGGAGCAAAUCCCAUCAAAGCCGGUCUCAGUUCGGAUUGCAGGCUGAAACUCG
rnacentral:rRNA from 1 species